UGCAGUCGAACGGCAGCACGGGAGCAAUCCUGGUGGCGAGUGGCGAACGGGUGAGUAAUAUAUCGGAACGUGCCCAGUCGUGGGGGAUAACGUAGAGAAAUUUACGCUAAUACCGCAUACGAUCUAAGGAUGAAAGCGGGGGACCGUAAGGCCUCGCGCGAUUGGAGCGGCUGAUAUCAGAUUAGGUUGUUGGUGAGGUAAAAGCUCACCAAGCCGACGAUCUGUAGCUGGUUUGAGAGAACGACCAGCCACACUGGAACUGAGACACGGUCCAGACUCCUACGGGAGGCAGCAGUGGGGAAUAUUGGACAAUGGGCGCAAGCCUGAUCCAGCCAUGCCGCGUGUGUGAAGAAGGCCUUCGGGUUGUAAAGCACUUUUGUUGGGGAAGAAAUCCCGGGGAUCAAUACUUCCCGGUGCUGACGGUACCCAAAGAAUAAGCACCGGCUAACUUCGUGCCAGCAGCCGCGGUAAUACGAAGGGUGCAAGCGUUACUCGGAAUUACUGGGCGUAAAGCGUGCGUAGGCGGUUGGUUAAGUCUGCUGUGAAAGCCCUGGGCUCAACCUGGGAACUGCAGUGGAAACUGGCCAGCUAGAGUGUGUCAGAGGAUGGUGGAAUUCCCGGUGUAGCGGUGAAAUGCGUAGAGAUCGGGAGGAACACCGGUGGCGAAGGCGGCCAUCUGGGACAACACUGACGCUGAGGCACGAAAGCG
rnacentral:rRNA from 1 species